GCUGAGAAAUAUUGCAAAAAUGACUUCAGCUGCCAAAAAUAAUGUCGUUUACAAGCAGCUCUUCCUAUGUCUAAGGAAGAACUAGUCACACAUGCGAGUUUUUGCUGGCUUGAGAACAAGCAAGGAAAAAGACAAAUCCCACCUACCCUAGCCUAAAAUACACAGUGAGUCUCAGAACCCCGCGGAAGCUGUGGCUCAUUUCUAAAGGUGCUGGCAAUAUCGAGGAAGACUUGUAUCCACAAAAUUCCAAAUGGAAAAGAGAGAAAAGAGAACAACAAACAGAUGUGUGAAAAAAAGACACGAAGUACAAAACGGAUGUAUUAAUGGCAAAUAGAGUAAACUUGAAGCCUGAAAUUGCAGCACUCAUUUGGUGACCAGGAGUGGGCAAACAGAAGGACAAAGGCCUACAAGGAAGGCUCAGGACACUCAUUCCCAACUCUGGAGGAUGCUGUGGGGUUCAUGAGCAGGAAGAGAUCUCCUGAUAAAGAGGUUAAAGACCUAUCAUAUCUCCAAAGAAAGAG
rnacentral:lncRNA from 10 species